GAUGAACGCUGACAGAAUGCUUAACACAUGCAAGUCUUUGGCGAAUCUGUGCUUGCACCGGCUAGCCAAGGCGGACGGGUGAGUAACGCGUAAAGAACUUGCCCUGCAGACAGGGAUAACAGACGGAAACGACUGAUAACACCUGAUACAGUUGCCGGCACGCAUGUGCCUGGCAAUGAAAAGAGAUGCUGCAGGAGAGCUUUGCGUCCUAUUAGCUUGUUGGUGAGGUGACGGCUCACCAAGGCGAUGAUAGGUAGCCGGCCUGAGAGGGUGAACGGCCACAAGGGGACUGAGAUACGGCCCUUACUCCUACGGGAGGCAGCAGUGGGGAAUAUUGGACAAUGGGGGCAACACUGAUCCAGCAAUUCUGUGUGCACGAAGAAGGUUUUCGGAGUGUAAAGUGCUUUCAGCAGGGAAGAAGAAAGUGACGGUACCUGCAUAAGAAGCGACGGCUAAAUACGUG
rnacentral:rRNA from 1 species